GAAAUCACUCGUGCACAAUCCGACGAGCUACAACCUUCCUAUAACAUCACAUAUCUCAUUAACACUUAUAACUUCUAAGGGUGACUAUCCCUAAGAAGUCAGACUUAGGUCAACUCUGGUCAACGGUCAACGGUCAACUCAACCGGACUCGGCGAGUCCCAUGGCGACUCGGCGAGUCUAGUCGUCCUCACAAAUUCCUGAAUAUUCCCUUUCUACUCGUCGAGUAUCCCUCUUGACUCGACGAGGUCCUCGUGGAAGAAUCGCGGGGCCACCCCGACUCCACUCGCCGAGUCUGAUGAACAACUCGGCGAGUCCCAGUAAAUCUUCAAGCUACUCGCCGAGUCUGAAGAACAACUCGGCGAGUCCAUGCCAUGCAGACGAGUAACUGCUUCCUGAGAUAGGUCUCGUCCCGAAGUACACAUGCAUGGGACCUUCUGGACCUCUAAAGGUCCUAAUACAAGAUUAUAGUCGUGGGGUAACAAGGCAUUACUUCAUCAAAUCACUAAAUGGGUUCUAUAAACCCUAAUUUCAUAAAUACAUCAAUAUAGCAGAGCAUACACGAAUUCUUACCUGGAUGAUGUAUUCUCUGUAUUCCCAAUCCUCAGAAUGUGACCCCUUGCUGCUCUUUUAGCCAAUCCUUCCUCUUCCUUGCACACCCACUCUUCUAUAACCAACAAUGGCCUAAGAUCCUUGCUCCUGCUGCACUAAUCGAUUUAGGGUUCUUCUCAGAAGGCUAAAACGAACAAUGACGGCCAAUGGACCCCUUUUAUACGUCCCAAACCUGAACGGUUAGGGUUUCCGCUAAACAGCGUCGACUCGCCGAGUCCAUAUCUGGACUCGUCGAGUCCAGUCGCGGACCCGCGACCAAGUCUGCGAUCCUACUCGGCGAGUCUAGGCUCCAACUCGCCGAGUCCCCUCUUAAAUCACCCCAAAAACAUAAUUUUAAUAAUACCUGAGAUUCCGGGCUGUUACAAUUUUCCCCCACUUGGAUUAGACUUCGCCCUCGAAGUCUCACUCUGCAAAUAGUUCCGGAUGCUGCUCCCGCAUUUCGCGCUCCGGUUCCCAAGUCAUUUCUGAUCCCUUACGGUGUUGCCAUUGAACCAACACCAGAGGUACCUCCUUGUUCCUCAGAACCUUGAUCUUCCGGUCCCUGAUAGCCACUGGUCUCUCCGCGUAAUUCAGACUCGCAUCCACCUGAAUAUCCUCCAAUGGAACCACUGCCGACUCAUCGGCUAUGCACUUCCUCAACUGCGACACAUGAAAAGUGUCAUGGAUCUGACCCAACUCCGCUGGCAACUCCAACCGGUAGGCUACCCGACCUAUCCUUGCAAUCACACGAAAUGGCCCAAUAUACCGGGGCCCCAACUUGCCUCUCUUCCUGAACCGAAUCACUCCUUUCCAAGGAGAGACCUUCAGGAGAACGAAGUCGCCGACUUGAAAUUCAAGCUCGGAUCGGCGCCUGUCUGCAUAACUCUUCUGUCGGCUCUGGGCAGUCAAUAAUCUUUGUCUCACUUGUUGAAUCUGCUCUGUCGUCUGGAGUAUGAUCUCCGUGCUGCCCAUCACUCUCUGUCCCACCUCUCCCCAGCAAAUGGGAGUCCGACACCUCCUACCAUACAACAGCUCGAAAGGCGGCAUACCAAUGCUCGAAUGAUGGCUGUUGUUGUAGGAAAACUCUGCCAAUGGUAAAUACGCAUCCCAACUACCCCCGAAGUCUAACACACACGCUCGGAGCAUGUCCUCCAGUGUCUGAAUUGUCCGCUCGCUCUGACCGUCUGUCUGGGGAUGGUAUGCGGUACUAAAAUGCAAUUUAGUACCCAGCUCCUCAUGAAAUUUCUUCCAGAAUCUGGAAGUAAAGCGCACAUCACGGUCUGACACAAUCGAGAUCGGCACCCCGUGCCGAGAUACCACCUCUCUCACGUAUAUCUCCGCCAAUUUCUCCGCCGAAGAACUCUCACUGAUGGCAAGGAAGUGUGCACUCUUUGUCAACCUAUCCACGAUCACCCAAAUUGCGUCAACUCCCCUAGCAGUCCUCGGCAAUUUGGUGAUAAAAUCCAUAGUAAUCUGUUCCCACUUCCACUCGGGGAUCUCCAAUGGCUGUAACUUGCCAUGCGGUCUCUGGUGCUCAGCCUUAACCCUACGGCAGGUCAAGCACCUCUCAACGAACCAUGCCACGUCCCUCUUCAUACAGGGCCACCAAUAUUCCUUCCUUAAAUCCAAAUACAUCUUUGUAGCACCGGGAUGGAUCGAGAAUUUCGAUUUAUGAGCCUCUUCCAUCAACGUAAUACGCGUACCGCCCACGAACGGUACCCAAAUCCGACCCUGAAACGUCAUAAGGCCUCGACUAUCCUUGACAAACUCUGAGAUUAACCCCACAACCCGCUCUUUCUUCUGCAUUUCUGGUCGCACAGCCUCUGCCUGGGCCCCACGAAUAGCGUCCAAUACUGGAGUCAUCACAGUCAGUCUCAAGCAUACGUCUCGCAAUGGAGUGCUCUCCGCCCUGCGGCUCAAUGCAUCGGCUACCACAUUAGCCUUGCCUGGGUGGUACAGGAUCUCACAAUCAUAAUCCUUGACCACAUCCAACCACCUCCUCUGACGCAUAUUUAGGUUGGGUUGAUCCAUCAAAUACUUCAAACUCUUAUGGUCCGUGUAUAUCGUACAUCGAACCCCAUACAAGUAGUGACGCCAAAUCUUGAGAGCGAACACUACUGCCCCCAACUCUAAAUCAUGCGUGGGAUAUCUCGCCUCAUGAGGCUUCAGCUGCCUCGACGCAUAAGCUAUCACAUGACCCCUCUGCAUCAACACUGCACCCAAUCCCGAAAUCGAUGCGUCGCAAUAUACCACGAAAUCUUCCAUCCCUUCUGGGAGAGCUAAUACCGGGGCUUCGCACAAUCUCUGGCGAAGUGUCUCAAAGGAGGUCUGCUGCUCGGGCCCCCAUGAGAAUGUAACACCCUUCCGGGUCAAUCUGGUGAGUGGCACUGCGAUCUUGGAGAAAUCCUUGAUAAAUCUCCGAUAAUACCCUGCCAACCCAAGGAAACUUCUGAUCUCAGAGGGUGACUUCGGCACCUCCCAACUCAUCACCGCCUCAACCUUGGCCGGAUCGACCAAUAUCCCUUUCUGAUUAACCACAUGUCCUAGAAACUGGACCUCCCGCAACCAGAAGUCACAUUUGGAGAACUUUGCAUAAAGCUUCUCCGACCUCAAUACCUCAAGGACCUCCCUCAAAUGCUCCUCAUGCUGCUCUCUAGAUCUCGAAUACACCAGAAUGUCGUCGAUAAAUACAAUCACUGACCGAUCCAACAUCGGCCUGCAUACCCUGUUCAUGAGAUCCAUGAACACAGCCGGGGCAUUGGUGAGUCCAAAAGGCAUCACCACAAACUCAUAAUGCCCAUAUCGCGUCCUAAACGCUGUCUUCUGGACGUCCUCAUCCCGUACUCUCACCUGAUGGUAUCCUGACCUCAGAUCGAUCUUGGAAAACCAAGAUGCUCCCUGCAACUGAUCGAAUAAAUCAUCGAUCCUCGGCAACGGGUAACGGUUCUUGACCGUUAGCUUGUUCAACUCCCGGUAAUCAAUGCACAUCCGGUGUGAACCAUCCUUCUUCUUGACGAACAGAAUAGGUGCUCCCCAUGGCGAGCUGCUCGGCCGAAUGAAUCCCUUUCCCAGCAACUCCUGGAGUUGCGAGGACAACUCUUGCAUCUCUGGAGGUGCAAGACGAUAGGGCACUUUAGCAAUAGGCGCUGCCCCCGGAACCAGAUCGAUACUAAACUCUACUUGCCUCACAGGCGGUACUCCCGGCAACUCCUCGGGAAAGACAUCUGAAAACUCGCGCACCACCGGAACUUCCUCAACUGACUUCGGUUUCUCAGAAACCUCCCGCGUAUCCAUCACAUACGCCACGAAACCCUUACAGCCCUGUCGUAGACACUGCCUCGCCCUAGCGGCCGAACAAAAAGCUGAUCCCGAACGGGUACCCUCGCCGUAUACCGAAAGAACUCCCCCACUAGGGUCUCGUAUAGUCACCAACUGACGCUCACAGUCGAUGACAGCGCCGAACCGGCUCAACCAGUCCAUGCCCACGAUGACACAGACAUCCCCCAUCGCGAUAGGAAUCAGAUCAAUCGGGAAUCCAACCCCGAAAAUCUCUAGUACACAUCCCCGAAGAACCUCCGUAGCACAAAUCACCUUCUCGUCAGCUAUAGAGACUCUCAAAGGUCGACUCAACGACUCACGACUAACGCCAAUAUGCUGACUAAAGGCCAAGGACACAAAGGACCUACUCGCACCCGAGUCAAAUAACACUAAGGCAGGCACAGAGUUCACAAGGAAAGUACCUACGCGCAUAAUAACAUAAGCAUAACAUAUCGACAUUAAAAUAAUUACAUGAAUUACAACAUACCUGCCACAACAUCGGGCGCAGCGCGGACCUCCUCCGCAGUCAGCUGAAAGGCUCUCCCACGAGCCCUCGGGGCCUCGACCUUCACCGGUCGAGUCUCAGUAGUCCUGGCAACAGGUGCAGAUCCCUGACGAAGCUGAGGGCACUCGGCCUUCCGAUGGCCGGUCUGGUUGCAAUGAAAGCAAACCAUAAAUCCCUUGGGACACUCCCUAGCAAUGUGUCCCUCCUUGCCACACUUGUAGCAAGCACCGGCUCGACACGCCCCAUCGUGACCCUUACCGCACUUUACGCAAGUGCGGUUCUUCGAACCUCCCGUCCUCGAAUCGGCGGACUUGAUCCGCUUGGCUGCCGGCUGAGACUGAGCCGGUCGCCGGUCUGCCUGCUGAGACUCGGCCUCCUCCCUGGCCUGAGUCUCUAACUCGAUCUCACGCUUCCUGGCAUUCGCCUGAAGCUCAGUAAAAGUAUGGUAAGUGGAGUUUGACACAAACUCCCGGAUCUCCCUCCUCAGAACACCCAAGUACCGGCUCAUCCGAGCCUGCUCUGUGGCCACCAGCUCGGGGCAAAACAUCGCCCUCUCAUGGAACUUCCGCGUGAUCGCCGCCACCGAAUCAGUACCCUGCUUGAGGGUUAAGAACUCCUGAACCAAUCGUUCCCGCUCCACCGGGGGAACGUACUCAUCCCUGAACAUGGUAGUGAACCCCUCCCAUGUCACUGCCGCAGUCUCUGCCAAAGUGAAGUUCGCCGUCACGAACUUCCACCAGUCCUUUGCUCCCAGACGGAGCUGGUUCAAAGCGAACCGUACCCUCAGGUGCUCCGGGCAUGAACAAGUGUAGAAGCACCCCUCUAUAUCUGCGAUCCACCUCAUCGCAGCAAUCGGAUCCUGCGUCCCAUCGAACUCUGGUGGCUUCGUGUUGCUGAACUCUCGGAACAGCAAUGAAUCACCCCCCUGUGGCCUAGCAGCGGCCACAGCUGCGGUAGCUGCAGCGGUUGCAGCCUCAGUCAAUGCGGCGUACCGCUCGUCGAACGUCUCCAUCAGGGUGGUCUUGAUAGACCCAAACAUCUCCGGGAUCUCAGCCCGGAUCGCCGCCGCCACCUCCUCGUGGAUCAUCUGACGAAUAUCCUCGUCACUCACACCGCUCGUACUUGCUCCGUGACGCGGUCUAACCAUGAUAUCUCUGAAAUACAACAUAAAACUAUCAGAGAUUCUACCGAGUAUAAUCGUACUCGAUACGCAACCCUACUCAGUCCCAGAUAUCCAGGGAUUCUUACUUGGGCCUCCCACUGACCCGGUGUCCUCGGUAGUACGGGCCCAAUACUACCGACCACACCGCAUCAAUGUUCAUCCCAAGUCCUCCUCCCCAAACUCCAGAUAGUGAGUACUCUACUUCUGAUACGCUCUAUCUACCCGCAUACUAGCAAAGCAUCUCAUAUAGGCAACUUCCCUAGACUAAGGCAUCACAAAUCAGGCCACUCUAGUCCUAUCAUGAAUACCUAGUCUUCUAGCAUGCAUAACAAUUCAUAUCAUAUAAUAUUGUAAGGUAUUUUGGGGAUCUUUACCGUUCGGGCGCUGACUGAUCGUACACACUGCUUCUUUCUUGCUUACCACAAAACCAUUUACAAAAGUUUAUGCCUUUAUUUGAAAAGUUUCCUCAAAUCCUCGGUUUGAGUUCAGUUACCCCCGAAGGUGCACCCGAAUCCCUCAAACCAAGGCUCUGAUACCAAUUGUAACAACUCAAAUUUUUCAAACAAAUUUUUCAUUUUUAAAACAUAAUUAUUUCCAUUAAAAACAAGGCAUAAACAGUUCAAUUAUUCGGUCAAUACAAUUAUUCAAACUCCCAAGAUCAUAAAACAAUCUUCAGUGUGUAUCGAUCAUGCCGGCGCCUUCCCACGGUCCUCACUAGUACCUGAAAUACAUGCACAACAACUGUAAGCAUAAAUGCUUAGUGAGUUCCCCAAUAUACACUUACGCACAUACGCCUUUCCAGGCCCUGACCUUCCGGUCCUCAUUACAACGCCUUCCGGCCCAUAACAUAAUCGCCUUCCGGCCCAUAACAUAUUGCCUUCCGGCCCACAUAUCAUACAUAGCACAUAUAACACUUAACUUACCACAUAUAGCAUACAUAUCCAUAUAACACUUAACUUACCACUUAUAGCAUACAUAUCCAUAUAACACUUAACUUACCACUUAUAGCAUAUAAACAUAAUACAUAACAUACUUGACCUUCCGGUCACACAGUCAAACCCUUCCGGGUACAGUAUAGUGAGAAGACUCACCUCGUAAGUGCUGAAAGCUAGCAACUCCUGAAAUCACUCGUGCACAAACCAACGAGCUACAACCCUCCUAUAACAUUACAUAACUCAUUAACACUCAUAUCAUCUAAGUGUGACUAUCCCUAAGAAGUCAGACUUAGGUCAACUCUGGUCAACGGUCAACGGUCAACUCGACUGGACUCGGCGAGUACCAUGGCGACUCGGCGAGUCUAGUCGUCCUCACAGAUUCCUGAAUAUUCCCUUUCUACUCGUCGAGUAUACCUCUUGACUCGACGAGGUCCUCGUGGAAGAAUCGCGGGGCCACCCCGACUCCACUCGCCGAGUCUGAUGAACAACUCGGCGAGUCCCA
rnacentral:lncRNA from 1 species